AGACUCUUCAGCUUUUGGGUUCCAGAACUUACACCAAGGACACCAUCAGCUUCCCUGGUUCUGAGGCCUUGGACUUGGAUGGAGCGAUGCUACCGACAUCCAGUUUAUAGACAGCCUAUCGUGGGACUUUUCUUCAUAGCCACGAUAUCUAGUUCCAAAACCUGGCCUGCACUUCCCGUUGGAGCUGAGAAGAACCACGGGUAGAAGAAUCACAGGAUUCCAAGGAAAUGAAACAAUGACUUGACUGCAAGAUAGGUUUUGGGAUCAGGAGAGAAAAUGAAAAUUCUUCAAAGCAGAGGAAACUGGAUACUAUGCAUCCAUUCAUUGUUACUUUAGAGGGCUCUCCAUGAUCCUAUAAACGUUUAGGAAAUCAGUGGAGAAACCCUUCAUACUUAGCAAAGCUUAUAGAUCGUCAGAACCCUUCUAUAGGGAGAGAAACCUGAAACUCCAACCUGGAAGAACCUUUCAAGCAUAAACCACAUAAGAAAAAGUCCAGGAGAAGCUCCGUUUGUUAGAGCACAGUGUUGGUAACACCAAGCUCAAGGGUUCCAAUUCUGUACUGGCCAACUGCUAAAAAAAAAAUAAUAAUAAUAAAGCCCAGGAGAGAGACCUCACCAGUGUUCCCAGGGUGGGAAAUAUGUUGCUCAGAAAUUGCAACUUAGCAGCAGAGGAUUCAUUUAGGAGAAGAACUUCACAAGUGCCCUAGUUGUGGGAGGAGACUGGGGUGCUUCCAGGAACAGCUUGGUGGUCAUCACUGGGCUGGAUGUGGACAUCAGGGGGUGUGGCUGAGGCCCUUGGCCCCCAACC